rnacentral:rRNA from 1 species
CGAAAGCCUGACGGAGCAACGCCGCGUGGGGGAAGAAGGUUCUUGGAUUGUAAACCCCUUUUCUCAGGGAAGAAGUUCUGACGGUACCUGAGGGAUCAGCCUCGGCUAACUCCGUGCCAGCAGCCGCGGUAAUACGGAGGAGGCAAGCGUUAUCCGGAAUUAUUGGGCGUAAAGCGUCCGCAGGGGGCGCAUCAAGUCUGCUGUCAAAGGUCGGAGCUCAACUCCGGUUCGGCAGUGGAAACUGGUGGGCUAGAGGGCGACAGGGGUAGAGGGAAUUCCCAGUGUAGCGGUGAAAUGCGUAGAGAUUGGGAAGAACACCGGUGGCGAAAGCGCUCUACUAGACCAUCACUGACACUCAGAGGACGAAAGCUAGGGGAGCG